UCCAUCAGAAACUGAUGUCGAAUGUAACAAUGAUAUGUCGGGUCAUUUGAUUCACUUGAUUUCGCUGGUGGUUUGAAGAACCUGAUUGAUAUGAGUUUUAUUCUUGAUUUUUUGUGUUUUUUGUAUAUUGUUAUUGCCCUAUACCUUAACUUUGAAUUAAUUUGGUAGUUUUGUUUCGCUUAGGUUUUAGUUAAUGUUUCCUAAUUUGUCUAGAGCAUGCAAUUGAGGGAUUCAAGCACAGCAACGCAGGAGAUGAAUACAUAUCUGAAAACUGGGACACAAUGCUCUAACCGUCGCCUCCAGCAAUGACGGCUAGGUUUUCGAAGAAUUGAUCUGUUGGCAGGGGGAGGAGUCAGCUGAUGUGGCGUGUUUUCUUCACAUCUGUAGUAGUGGCGGUAGUAGUCUGUACUGCUAUGGGGUGGUGUAAGAGUGGCAAGUGUGGGCUCUAGGGUUAUCUCUUUCGAUUUGCGAAACAAAGGGUUUUGUGUUCAAUAUUCUAUAUCUAAUACUUGGAUGGUCUAAGUCAAAAUCGACGGUACGAUGGUACAUGGAAGGAUGAAGGUGUUGUGGGUUCUUAAUUCUUCACUCCAAUUUGUUCCAUUGGGCUUGGAUACUUACGCUGGUGAUUCUGGUGAAUAUAAUGAGCAACACGUCUUCAAAAUCAAGGUUUCUUUUGUGCAAUGGAAGAUACCGUGGAACAACAGCUUAUCACCGAACAGGUACGAUUCAUGAAGACAUGCUUGAUAUUGUGUUGCUUACACAUGGAUGAUGACCUGAGAAUUGAAAGUGAGAAAACAAGAUAGUUGCCUGCAAAAUGAUUGGUGGUGGUAGUGAUGGUACUUUAGAUCUUUGUGUAAGGAUAAAUUGAAAACAUACACUUUCAUUCUUAUGUCAAGCCACAACUUCUCGCUACAAACAACAGGUAUCUCCUUUAUGAUAUCCUUCUCCGCAAGUAUUGGAAGCCUAAAGAAGUAGACAGCCUCGGUGCACCACCAGAUCUCUUUUUACUUUUUAGUUGGUUUUUUAAUUUUAUUUGCAUGUUUGCUUUAUACAUUUCUUUUUGUAAUUUUGGUUUUUUGCUGAUAGUUAACAAUUAGAAGAUCACGGGUAUAUAGGAUAAAGGCAAGGUGAUCAAAGUCAGUGAUAACGUGCUCGAAUUUCUAUCGGUUGAUGAUGGGGUUUACUAUGUCCUUGGUCACUCUUGGUGACAAGGGUUCCAAUUACUACACCGAGUUGGAGCUGAUGAAGGUGAAGGUAGAAUUGAAUUGUUACCGAAGGAAGUCAAGGGUAAAGAUAUCACAGACCUAAUUGAUGCCGGCAGGCUUCAGGCUUCAGUUCCCCAUUUGGUGGUGGUGUUGCAGUUGCUGCUGUAACCGGUGGUAGUGUCGCACUUAAUAUAACAGCUAAAUGGGUGCAAUUAAAACGAUAGGCCAACGUCUUAUACUGCAUAAAUUAUUUCAACUAGAAGACUAUAAUUAU